AACGUAGGAGACAAGCGUUAUCCGGAUUUACUGGGCGUAAAGCGCCCGUAGGCGGCCUGACAAGUUGGACGUGAAAGCUCCUGGCUUAACUGGGAGAGGCCGUUCAAAACUGUCAAGCUAGAGUCUGGAAGAGGAGAGCGGAAUUCCCGGUGUAGUGGUGGAAUGCGUAGAGAUCGGGAGGAACACCAGUGGCGAAAGCGGCUCUCUGGUCCAAAACUGACGCUGAGGGGCGAAAGCGUGGGGAGCGAACGGG
rnacentral:rRNA from 1 species